CUGAAAAAGACUCUGAGUUUCCUCAGGCUUCAUGUUUCUCUAAGGAAUGUCUUUCAUUUUCCAUAACUCUUGAAUGACAUUAAAGAAAACACUUCAACAGUUUUCAUACUUGUAGAUUAGCAUAUUCACACUUGUAUUGAGCUCAGUAUUUCUGUGAUGUAUUUGGUUAUUGUCUUUGUUUCUAUUGCUGUGAUAAAAAACAAAAAGCAAAACAAAUAAGAAAAGCAACAUAUGGAGGGAAGGGUGUAUUUCAGCUUAUAACUUAGGUCACACUCCAUCACUGAUGGAAGUCAGAUGAAGCAGAGGCCAUGGAGGGGUGCUGCUUACUGGCUUGCUCCUCCUGGCUUACCUCAAGAUACACUCCAGGAUCACAGGGCCAUGAAUGGCACCACUCGUAGUGGGCUGGGCCCUUCCAUACCGAUCACUAAUCAAGACAACUCCCCCACAGUCUUGCUUACAGGCCAAUCUAAUGAAAUCAUUUCCUCAAUUAAGAUUCCCUUCUCUCAGAUGACUCUAGUUGUGUCAAGUUGAGAAAAAAAGCAAAUCAGGACAGAUAGUCUUGCUAAUAACAAUAAAAUAAAAUUAACAUACUGUUUGUUGCAUUAUAAAUCUAAGAAACACACAAAUUUAUAUUCAUAUCAUGUUCCCUAUAAACUAAAUGAUUUAAUACAUGAUUUCAUUUAAAUGUCACAGCAACACUGUAUGUUUUCCUUUUAUAGAUGAGAAGAUAGGUUGGAAGUGGUGAAAUGACUUCUUGAUGUCACAUAGUUAAGGGUUGCCUGAGUCAGGAUUCAAACUCAUGUCUUUUGAAACAAAAUCGACUUUCUCCCAGCCAUCUCUUACUGCUAAAUAGAAGGUCAGAGCAUGGUUUCCUUGUUGGAAUUUCUGCAGUUUGGAUCUUAUUCAAGGGGUGUGGUACUCUCCCAACCCUGACAAGCAAGAUGAGCAGGUCUGGAUUAUUUAUUCUUGUUCAUCAUCAGCUGUCUAGACUUCAGGCCAGUGUGAUGCGUGACAACAGAAACACUCUAUCCCGUGCAGAGGAGGCCUGUUUAAACCAACUCCUGAAGGAUGAUGAGAGUCUCCUCAGGCAUCCUACACCGAGACUGUCACUUUAUGUAGAGGAAUCAGCACAUUCCAGCAAUGAAGAAACAAUGCUGAUGAGGAUGGGCAACUUCUGUGAAGGAAGUGUCCCCAGAGUCUAG
rnacentral:lncRNA from 1 species